rnacentral:rRNA from 1 species
UACGUAGGUGGCAAGCGUUGUCCGGAUUUACUGGGCGUAAAGCGCACGUAGGCGGCUUUGUAAGUCAGAGGUGAAAUCCCGGGGCUCAACUCCGGAACUGCCUUUGAGACUGCAUCGCUUGAAUCCAGGAGAGGUGAGUGGAAUUCCGAGUGUAGAGGUGAAAUUCGUAGAUAUUCGGAAGAACACCAGUGGCGAAGGCGGCUCACUGGACUGGUAUUGACGCUGAGGUGCGAAAGCGUGGGGAGCAAACAGG